rnacentral:tRNA from 1 species
GGAGAGGUGCGAGAGUGGUUGAAUCGGGCUCCCUGCUAAGGAGUUGUGUGGGUUGACUGCACCGAGGGUUCGAAUCCCUCCCUCUCCGCCA